CACGUAGGGUGCGAGCGUUGUCCGGAAUUAUUGGGCGUAAAGAGCUCGUAGGCGGUGUGUCGCGUCGGCCGUGAAAACCUGCAGCUUAACUGUGGGCUUGCGGUCGAUACGGGCAUCACUGGAGUUCGGCAGGGGAGACUGGAAUUCCUGGUGUAGCGGUGAAAUGCGCAGAUAUCAGGAGGAACACCUGAGGUGAAGACGGGUUGCUGGGCUGACACUGACGCUGAGGCGCGAAAGCCAGGGGAGCAAACGGG
rnacentral:rRNA from 1 species